AGAGUUUGAUCAUGGCUCAGAACGAACGCUGGCGGCGUGGAUAAGACAUGCAAGUCGAGCGGGACUUCUUUUGGUAGCAAUACCGAGGGAAAUUCAGCGGCGAACGGGUGCGUAACACGUGGGCAAUCUGUCUUAAAGUGGGGGAUAGCUCGGCGAAAGCCGAAUUAAUACCGCAUGUGAUCAGGGGCGACAUCGCUCCGAAAUCAAAGGUGGCGCAAGCUACCGCUUUUUGAGGAGCCCGCGGCCUAUCAGCUUGUUGGUGAGGUAACGGCUCACCAAGGCGUUGACGGGUAGCUGGUCUGAGAGGACGACCAGUCACACUGGGACUGAGACACGGCCCAGACACCUACGGGUGGCAGCAGUCGAGAAUUUUUGACAAUGGGGGAAACCCUGAUCGAGCGACGCCGCGUGGAGGAUGAAGGUCUUCGGGUUGUAAACUCCUGUCAUUUGGGAACAAGGCGUACGUAUUAACUAUACGUGCGUUGAUAGUACCAGAAGAGGAAGAGACGGCUAACUCUGUGCCAGCAGCCGCGGUAAUACAGAGGUCUCAAGCGUUGUUCGGAUUCAUUGGGCGUAAAGGGUGUGUAGGUGGCGCGCUAAGUCGGGUGUGAAAUUUCGGAGCUUAACUCCGAAACUGCAUUCGAUACUGGCGUGCUUGAGGACUGGAGAGGAGACUGGAAUUUACGGUGUAGCAGUGAAAUGCGUAGAUAUCGUAAGGAAGACCAGUGGCGAAGGCGGGUCUCUGGACAGUUCCUGACACUGAGACACGAAGGCCAGGGGAGCAAACGGGAUUAGAUACCCUAGUAGUCC
rnacentral:rRNA from 1 species